AGGAGCCGAAUAUUAAUGGUAAGUACCAAAGUUGAUCGAUCAAAUCUAUACUCAAGUCAUAAAAUUCAUCGUAACAUAAGAACUAUGUCUAAAAUAUUAACAAAUACAAUAAAAUAGCUUUUUUUUUUUUUCAGGUGUAGCGAAUUGUAGAUCUAUUUUUGUGAAUAUCAAUAAUAGAUUGUAUUGUUCGUGUUCGGAUAGGUCAGCCUUGACUUUAUUAUAUGUGUUAUUUUUUUAAAACGAUCUUGUAGAGUUGAUUAUUAUGCACGAGAAUAAUGGGCAUUGCAAUGGUCCAAUUUUUUAAAGGCAGACGUGAUUUUGAAGUGGGGUUCGAUGGCAACUGUUGGGGCCACUUGGACCAGAGUCCAUAAUGUCAAGCCCACCGCAAAAUCAUGCACCCAAUUGGGCCUUUAAAGGCUUUGUCGUUGCUUCGUCGCCCUGUUCCUUGAGUUUAAUGGGUCUGGCCCAAUAAACAACAAGUAUAGUUUGGGCCUAUUAAAUCCAGUUGGAAUUUUUCAUUGUAUAAAUUUGAUUAUUAAUAAUUAAUUUUUUAAUAACAAAUUUUUAAUUACAAAUAUAGCAAAAAUCUAUUCGUGAUAAUAUUACGUUGUUGUUAAACUUUUGUGGUUUGUUAGUAAUAGACCAAUAUUUGUGCAUGGUCUAUGAUGAAUUUUAUUAUAUUUGCAAUUUUGUUCAAAA
rnacentral:lncRNA from 1 species